rnacentral:lncRNA from 1 species
UAUGUAUUAAUCCUUUUUAUUUAAAAGGGAUUUACUUAUCAAAUGUUUCCAAAACAUUUGAUGAUGUCUCUUUAUUGUGUUCGAAUACUUUGAUGAGACCUUGAUUCCAUGGCUUGAGCUAUUGCCCCAUUACGUCGUAGUAUCCUACUAACAACCUUAUGGUUUGGAUUCAAUCAUUGGUUCUACAAGAACCCCUUCAUUCAAAACACCUUUUGAAGCAGUUUCUAAAACAAUAUAUCGUUAUAUAUUUCGUUUGUGUACUUUAUACAAACUUUGCUCCAACCUUGAGACCAUUGUAGUACAAUACCAACAAUUCAUUCAUAUGAUUUAUAACCUAAGUGAAUGCACGCUUCCAGAGUCCCACUCUAAUGUUUCUUUCUUAAAGGCAAUAAUACUCUAUCAGUUGCUUUGGUUCUGAUCCUGGGAUAUAGUAAUAUCUUAAAGUGACAACCCCUGUGGUUCUUCACUUUUGGAUAUCUACUUCACAAGUCCAUACAUGUGUCCCUUUUGUGAUUUUGUGACACAUUCAUUAUAAGGGAUACGAAAGUGAUUUUCUAUCAUAUAGGAAAAUGCUUCAACAUUUGAGAUUUAAUUUCCCUAUUUAAUAUCCUUGAAAUAGCCUUACUAUAUCAAUAAGUCUAAUUUCAAGUCUAUACUUCAAAAUUGACCGUGUCAUGUUUUGCCAUUUUUCGAGUAACAUCUAUGAUUUAUUAAGUCUAUCAAAUAGACUUUAUUCAUAUCUUGUUGCUCAAAUUAUGACAUCACUCCCACUGGCCUUGUUGUAACUUAGCAUUCAUUAAAAAAUCUAACACUUAUAUUUUCUUGAUUUGAAUGCAUAUUGCUCCCACUAACUUGUCUUGGAUCUAUUGACAAUCAUUGAGAUCCAUUAGCUUAUUGAUGAUGUCUCAACAAUUUUGAGACUAUCCACAACACUAGCUAACACAAGUUUAUUUAAACGAAUCAUACACAAAAGAAUUGCUUCUCAAGUAAUUCCAUUGAAAUGUGUGACUUGCUUUAUCAAGUCUAUUCAUUUAAAUUAUAUGGUGUCGUACACCAUACUUCAAGUUUUAGUCAUACUAAGACCUUUAAUGUAGUCAUAUAAGAAUUAUCCAAGUCUUUAGUGGAAGCAUGGCUCCUACUAAGGAUAUAGAAACUCAACCAUUCCUUCUAGGUGGUUAAUAUAAUUCUUUAUCAAAACUACAUAGAGCAUUAUAGUUACAUGAGAUGUUGAAUUUGGAUUGUCUUGUUGUUAAAUCAUAUGUUGUGACUCAUUUUUGAAACUAUUCCCUUUUGUUUCAUCAACUUGUCCAUAUGCUUUGUUAUUUAGCUUGUUCUCAUAAAAGAGAAUAAUGGACAACUCCCAACAUAUAACCAUUUUAUGCUAGGUUGACGAAACCAACAUUCAAAGACUAUUCUUUAGAACGUUACACAACAUAGAAUUUUAACGUUUGAAGAGCUUGAGGUUUUAACAAUUAAAAUUACAAACUCUUAAUAAUAGUCAAGUACUAUUAUUCUUUAGACAACUAUAAACCAAUCACAUUCAAGUUUAUAUCCAUUUUCACACCUCCCACUAUUUCUCAUGACUUUAAUGAGAAAUCAUUUCAUACAUUCAAAAUUGUAUAAACGUGGAGUAUACGGGUAGAAGACAUUGUGUAGUAUCUUUAAAACCUUUCAAGCUCGUUUGUUUCAAUCUUCACUAAGUUAAUGUCUCGUUAUUAAGUGACUAAAGUCUUUAAACAUUUUAUAGAUUUAGACACUUCUUUCUUGGUUUAAUCACUAACACAAUUGACAUUUUAAAACAUUUUAAAGAAUGCCCAAUUAGUUGUUCAAAACUUCUAAUUGAAUCAAGAGUGAUCUUGAUUAUUGUGGUUCAUGUGAUAACCAUAUAAGAAACGUUUUUCUUAUUACUUAUAUCAUUAUAAUGUGAUCUUCCUUUUCUUCAAGAAAGGAAUCUCUAGACCUUUGUCAAUUCAUAUAGAACUCAUAGGUAGACAAUUGGAACCAAAUCUAAAGAUUCAUUGUAUCCUUCUAUGUCCUACAUGUGAGAUCUAUCCAUAAUUGAUAAGUCUAAAGUUUGGUUUAUCACAUUACAAUAAGUGAUAUAAAUCUUGUAUCUCAACUAGGAUACAACAAGACAAUAUUCAAUUCAUAACACUACUUUUAAGGAAAUAAUAUAUUAGAAGGUAUACAUCACAUUACAUUAAUAUGAUAAUUCAAACAUUCAUAAUGUUUAAUACAAAAAGUAUUAGCUCUAUACAUUUAGAGACUAAUAUAUACCUUUAUACAUUUAGGCACUAAUAGUGGUCUUCCAUCAUAUGAAGCCACAUAAUAAGUUCUUAACAAAAUAAGAAAGUUUAAAGACAAUCUUUAAAUGCCUAACAAACUUCCUAAGUAGUAAGCAAAAACAUAGUGGCCGAACCCUUCUCCAUAUUUUUCCUUGCUUGUUCCUCUUCUACUUGGCUCCUCCACCUAUAUACAAUUAUACAAGUGAUUAGCCAUUUAUAUCAAAUAUAAAUAUUUAGAAGAUCUAACAAUUAGAAUUGAAGAUAAGAACAUAAACCAUACCUUGUGGCUUGUCCUUAAGAGUUGCAAGGUAUAACCUGCAAUUCCCCUUCCAAUGCCCCUCCUUUCCACAGUGGUGGCAAGUCCCCUUGGGGCUCAUUUGCCUUCUUUUUCCUCACUCCUCCUUGCGGCUUAGGAGUGGGAGACUUCUUCUCCUUCCCUUUGCCUUUGCCUUGCGGCUUGGCCUUGGAAGAGGAUGGCUUGUUAUAGGCUACUGCAGCAGUCCCUACAACGUCCUCUU